UACAGAGGUCUCAAGCGUUGUCCGGAAUCAUUGGGCGUAAAGAGCGUGUAGGCGGUCCGGUAAGUCCGCUGUGAAAGUCAAAGGCUCAACCUUUGAAUGCCGCUGGAAACUGCCUGGCUUGAGUCCGGAAGGGGCGAGUGGAAUUCCUGGUGUAGCGGUGAAAUGCGCAGAUAUCAGGAGGAACACCAAUGGCGAAGGCAGCUCGCUGGAACGGUACUGACGCUGAGGCGCGAAAGCGUGGGGAGCGAACAGG
rnacentral:rRNA from 1 species